UACGUAGGGUGUGAGCGUUGUCCGGAAUUAUUGGGCGUAAAGAGCUUGUAGGCGGUCUGUCGCGUCUGCUGUGAAAAUCCGGGGCUCAACCCCGGACUUGCAGUGGGUACGGGCAGACUAGAGUGUGGUAGGGGAGACUGGAAUUCCUGGUGUAGCGGUGAAAUGCGCAGAUAUCAGGAGGAACACCGAUGGCGGAGGCAGGUCUCUGGGCCACUACUGACGCUGAGAAGCGAAAGCAUGGGGAGCGAACAGG
rnacentral:rRNA from 1 species